rnacentral:rRNA from 1 species
UACGAAGGGGGCUAGCGUUGCUCGGAAUCACUGGGCGUAAAGCGCACGUAGGCGGCUUUUUAAGUCAGGGGUGAAAUCCUGGAGCUCAACUCCAGAACUGCCUUUGAUACUGAGAAGCUUGAGUUCGGGAGAGGUGAGUGGAACUGCGAGUGUAGAGGUGAAAUUCGUAGAUAUCAGGAAGAACACCCGUGGCGAAGGCGGCUCUCUGGAACGCAACUGACGGCUGAGACGCGAAAGCGUGGGGAGCAAACAGG